rnacentral:rRNA from 1 species
CAUGCAAGUCGAACGGAAAGGCCCUGCUUUUGUGGGGUGCUCGAGUGGCGAACGGGUGAGUAACACGUGAGUAACCUGCCCUUGACUUUGGGAUAACUUCAGGAAACUGGGGCUAAUACCGGAUAGGAGCUCCUGCUGCAUGGUGGGGGUUGGAAAGUUUCGGCGGUUGGGGAUGGACUCGCGGCUUAUCAGCUUGUUGGUGGGGUAGUGGCUUACCAAGGCUUUGACGGGUAGCCGGCCUGAGAGGGUGACCGGCCACAUUGGGACUGAGAUACGGCCCAGACUCCUACGGGAGGCAGCAGUGGGGAAUACUGCACAAUGGGCGGAAGCCUGAUGCAGCAACGCCGCGUGCGGGAUGACGGCCUUCGGGUUGUAAACCGCUUUCGCCUGUGACGAAGCGUGAGUGACGGUAAUGGGUAAAGAAGCACCGGCUAACUACGUGCCAGCAGCCGCGGUGAUACGUAGGGUGCGAGCGUUGUCCGGAUUUAUUGGGCGUAAAGGGCUCGUAGGUGGUUGAUCGCGUCGGAAGUGUAAUCUUGGGGCUUAACCCUGAGCGUGCUUUCGAUACGGGUUGACUUGAGGAAGGUAGGGGAGAAUGGAAUUCCUGGUGGAGCGGUGGAAUGCGCAGAUAUCAGGAGGAACACCAGUGGCGAAGGCGGUUCUCUGGGCCUUUCCUGACGCUGAGGAGCGAAAGCGUGGGGAGCGAACAGGCUUAGAUACCCUGGUAGUCCACGCUGUAAACGGUGGGUACUAGGUGUGGGGUCCAUUUCCACGGGUUCCGUGCCCGUAGCUAACGCUUUAAGUACCCCGCCUGGGGGAGUACGGCCGCAAGGCUAAAACUCAAAGGAAUUGACGGGCCCCGCACA